rnacentral:rRNA from 1 species
CACGUAGGGCGCAAGCGUUGUCCGGAAUUAUUGGGCGUAAAGAGCUCGUAGGCGGUCUGUUGCGUCCGCUGUGAAAACUCGGGGCUUAACCCCGAGCCUGCAGUGGAUACGGGCAGACUAGAGGUAGGUAGGGGGAGAAUGGAAUUCCCGGUGUAGCGGUGAAAUGCGCAGAUAUCGGGAGGAACACCGGUGGCGAAGGCGGUUCUCUGGGGCC